rnacentral:rRNA from 1 species
UAGAUACCCUGGUAGUCCGCACGGUAAACGAUGGAUGCCCGCUGUCGGUCAUAUUUGGUCGGUGGCCAAGCGAAAGCGUUAAGCAUCCCACCUGGGGAGUACGCCGGCAACGGUGAAACUCAAAGGAAUUGACGGGGGCCCGCACAAGCGGAGGAACAUGUGGUUUAAUUCGAUGAUACGCGAGGAACCUUACCCGGGCUUGAACUGCAGAGGAAAUAUCGAGAGAUCGUGUUGCCCUUCGGGGCCUCUG